rnacentral:rRNA from 1 species
AACGAACGCUGGCGGCAUGCCUAACACAUGCAAGUCGAACGAGACCUUCGGGUCUAGUGGCGCACGGGUGCGUAACGCGUGGGAAUCUGCCCUUGGGUUCGGAAUAACAGUUAGAAAUGACUGCUAAUACCGGAUGAUGACUUCGGUCCAAAGAUUUAUCGCCCAGGGAUGAGCCCGCGUAGGAUUAGCUUGUUGGUGAGGUAAAAGCUCACCAAGGCGACGAUCCUUAGCUGGUCUGAGAGGAUGAUCAGCCACACUGGGACUGGGACACGGCCCAGACUCCUACGGGAGGCAGCAGUGGGGAAUAUUGGACAAUGGGCGAAAGCCUGAUCCAGCAAUGCCGCGUGAGUGAUGAAGGCCUUAGGGUUGUAAAGCUCUUUUACCCGGGAUGAUAAUGACAGUACCGGGAGAAUAAGCCCCGGCUAACUCCGUGCCAGCAGCCGCCGUAACAC